CCUAGGGUGGCAGCAGUGGGGAAUAUUGCACAAUGGGCGAAAGCCUGAUGCAGCGACGCCGAGUGAGCGAAGAAGGCCUUCGGGUCGUAAAGCUCUGUCCUAUGGGAAGAAAGAUGACGGUACCAUAGGAGGAAGCCCCGGCUAACUACGUGCCAGCAGCCGCGGUAAUACGUAUGGGGCGAGCGUUGUCUGGAAUGACUGGGAGUAAAGGGUACGUAGGCGGCGAGAUAAGUGAGAUGUGAAAGGCAUAGGCUGAACUUGUGGAAGCAAUUGAAACUGUCUAGCUUGAGUCAAGGAGGCGAAUGUGGAAUUCGUGGGGUUGCCGAGAAGUGCGUAAAUAUCAGGAGGAAUACCAGGGGCGAAGGCGACUUUCUGGACAUAGACUGACGCGGAGGUACGAAAGCAAGGGUAGCAAACAGGAUGAGAUACCCCAGUAGUCC
rnacentral:rRNA from 1 species